GAGGGUAAAGCUCAGUGGAGGAGUACAUGCCUAGCAUGCGCAAGGUCCUGGGUUCAAUCCCCAGUACCUCUG
rnacentral:tRNA from 1 species